GACGAACGCUGGCGGCGUGCUUAACACAUGCAAGUCGAACGGAAAGGCCCUGCUUUUGUGGGGUGCUCGAGUGGCGAACGGGUGAGUAACACGUGAGUAACCUGCCCUUGACUUUGGGAUAACUUCAGGAAACUGGGGCUAAUACCGGAUAGGAGCUCCUGCUGCAUGGUGGGGGUUGGAAAGUUUCGGCGGUUGGGGAUGGACUCGCGGCGUAUCAGCUUGUUGGUGGGGUAGUGGCUUACCAAGGCUUUGACGGGUAGCCGGCCUGAGAGGGUGACCGGCCACAUUGGGACUGAGAUCCGGCCCAGACUCCUACGGGAGGCAGCAGUGGGGAAUAUUGCACAAUGGGCGGAAGCCUGAUGCAGCAACGCCGCGUGCGGGAUGACGGCCUUCGGGUUGUAAACCGCUUUCGCCUGUGACGAAGCGUGAGUGACGGUAAUGGGUAAAGAAGCACCGGCUAACUACGUG
rnacentral:rRNA from 1 species